UACGAAGGGGGCUAGCGUUGCUCGGAAUCACUGGGCGUAAAGGGUGCGUAGGCGGAUCUUUAAGUCAGGGGUGAAAUCCUGGAGCUCAACUCCAGAACUGCCUUUGAUACUGAGGAUCUCGAGUUCGGGAGAGGUGAGUGGAACUGCGAGUGUAGAGGUGAAAUUCGUAGAUAUUCGCAAGAACACCAGUGGCGAAGGCGGCUCACUGGCCCGAUACUGACGCUGAGGCACGAAAGCGUGGGGAGCA
rnacentral:rRNA from 1 species